AGGUGGGAAAAUUGAAAAAAAAGUGUGGGAUUUCAAGGGAUUAAGGUGGUGAGCCCUCUAACAAAAGGUAAAGAAAUUGUGCUCGAAGACCGAGAAUAGGAGUAUAUCGAACUCCUAGUACUGCAUGAGGUAGCUUGUGGAUAGCAGAUAUCGUCAAGAAUUAUAGUCGACUUUACUACUCCAAAAAUUAUAGGUUUACUAGCUUUGUGCACUUUUGUUCCUUAUGGGCCCACAAGUCACUAUAAAGUAAAUUUCAUAUCCCGAUUAUCUGUAUUAUAGUACGUAUGAAUUUAUUUAGUUUUUACAUUACAAAAAAA